GAUGAACGCUGGCGGCGUGCCUAAUACAUGCAAGUCGAGCGAAAAGACGAGAAGAUUGCUCCUCUGAGGGUAGCGGCGGACGGGUGAGUAACACGUGGAUCACAUACCUAUAAGACUGGGAUAACAUCGGGGAACCGGAGCUACUACCGGAUAAUAUAUUGAACCGCAUGGUUCAAUAGAGAAAGACGGCUUUGCUGUUAGUUAGAGAUGGUUCCGCGCCGCAUUAGCUAGUUGGUAAGGUAACGGCUUACCAAGGCAACGAUGCGUAGCCGAGCUGAGAGGGUGAUCGGCCACACUGGAACUGAGACACGGUCCAGACUCCUACGGGAGGCAGCAGUAGGGAAUCUUCCACAAUGGGCGAAAGCCUGACGGAGCAACGCCGCGUGAGUGAUGAAGGUCUUCGGAUCGUAAAACUCUGUUAUUAGGGAAGAACAAAUGUGUAAGUAACUAUGCACGUCUUGACGGUACCUAAUCAGAAAGCCACGGCUAACUACGUG
rnacentral:rRNA from 1 species